rnacentral:rRNA from 1 species
GACGGAAGGUGCAAGCGUUGCUCGGAAUCACUGGGCGUAAAGGGUGCGUAGGCGGCCGUGCAAGUCUGGUGUGAAAGCCCCGGGCUCAGCCCGGGAAGUGCGCUCGAAACUGCGCGGCUCGAGUGCCGGAGGGGAGAGUGGAAUUCCUGGUGUAGCGGUGAAAUGCGUAGAUAUCAGGAGGAAUACCGGUGGCGAAAGCGACUCUCUGGACGGUAACUGACGCUGAGGCACGAAAGCCAGGGGAGCGAACGGG